rnacentral:rRNA from 1 species
UACAGAGGUCCCGAGCGUUGUUCGGAUUCACUGGGCGUAAAGGGCGCGUAGGCGGCAGGCCAAGUCGGGAGUGAAAGCCCGGGGCUCAACCCCGGAAUGUCUUUCGAAACUGGCCAGCUGGAGUGCGGAAGAGGCAACUGGAAUUCCCAGUGUAGCGGUGAAAUGCGUAGAUAUUGGGAAGAACACCUGAGGCGAAGGCGGGUUGCUGGGCCGACACUGACGCUGAGGCGCGAAAGCCAGGGGAGCAAACGGG